rnacentral:ncRNA from 12 species
GGGGUGGUGGCGCAGUUGGCUAGCGCGUAGGUCUCAUAAUCCUGAGGUCGAGAGUUCGAGCCUCUCUCACCCCA